rnacentral:rRNA from 1 species
CCUACGGGAUGCUGCAGUGGGGAAUAUUGGGCAAUGGGCGCAAGCCUGACCCAGCAACGCCGCGUGAAGGAAGCAGGCUCUCGGGUUGUAAACUUCUUCUACGAGGGAAGAGCAGAAGACGGUACCUCUUGAAUAAGCCACGGCUAACUACGUGCCAGCAGCCGCGGUAAUACGUAGGUGGCAAGCGUUGUUCGGAUUUACUGGGUGUAAAGGGCGUGUAGCCGGGCUGAUAAGUCAGAUGUGAAAUCCCGUGGCUCAACCACGGAACUGCAUUUGAAAUUGUCGGUCUUGAGUAUCGGAGAGGCAGGCGGAAUUCCUAGUGUAGCGGUGAAAGGCGUAGAUAUUAGGAGGAACACCAGUGGCGAAGGCGGCCUGCUGGACGACAACUGACGGUGAGGCGCGAAAGCGUGGGGAGCAAACAGGAUUAGAUACCCUUGUAGUC